CUUGGCCCUUGGAAUUAAUUUUUAGGUUAGGAGUCUUAGGACUAGAAGUAGAAGUCGAAGAUGCAACUGUUGGUUAUAACGGGAACGCGGGAACACUGUAGAAUUCUCUCUUACGACCCCCCAGUGAACUCCGUCGUGACUGCGCUUGCAUUCAGCUUACCCUAUCUCCAGCUACCCCCUCGUGUGCAGCCUAUGGAAUCCUUUGAAUCAAACCCUAACCCACCGAUUGAAACCCUAGAAUCUCCGCCGGAAUCUUGCACGCCAGCUCUGCAAAAUCCAAUUCGAAACUCACCCGAAGCUCUAAUACCGUUCCAGCCUCUGGAAACCCUAGCUUCGUCUGAUCAGUAUCCAUCCGAAGCCCCGGAUUUUGAUGGUGGAAAUCCGGUGCCGCCCUCGGGAACCUUAGAAGAGAGUGAUAUAAACCCAUCAGAAAUCUUAAUUCGAGGAGGAAGCUACGAGCUUCAUCCAGGAGCUGAAGCUUUUGAUGACAGAAACCUGAGAAAUUCAUCCGAGAAAAACUCAGAAAAUGGGUAUCCUGGAAAUAAUCAGCCUGAGAAUCAUCAGUUUGAUAAGACGCAGGAAAUGGAAAUUGCGAAGCCACUAGUGUCGGAAAAUGGGGUUGUGAAUAAUCUCAAUGGCACCGACAAGGACUGCUCUGGUGGGGAGGAGGAGACAACGAGUAGGCGCCGUCGGCGGAGCCGUUGGGACCCCCCAGGGGACUCGAACAACCAGGGCUGUGAGACGAAGAAGAGGAGGUCGAGGUGGGCGGAUGAUGAGCCAAAGCCUGUUGUACAAUUGCCAGACUUCAUGGGAGAAUUUAUGGGAGGUAUUGAAUUUGACACUGAGAUUCGCUCACUUAACAGUAGACUUAUUGAAAUUAGUCGGAUGUUGCAAUCGGGUUUGCCCUUGGAUGAUAGACCUGAAGGCGCACGUUCGCCUUCCCCUGAGCCUAUCUAUGAUAAUAUGGGGAUUAGAAUAAAUACUAGGGAGUAUCGUGCCCGUGAAAGGUUGAACAAAGAGAGACAAGAAAUUAUAUCACUAAUUAUGAAAAAGAACCCUACAUUUAAGCCCCCAGCAGAUUAUAGACCUCCAAAGCUUCAGAAGAAGCUUUAUAUACCAAUGAAAGAAUACCCAGGUUACAAUUUUAUUGGACUUAUAAUUGGGCCAAGGGGAAAUACCCAAAAGAGAAUGGAAAGAGAGACAGGUGCAAAAAUAGUGAUUCGGGGAAAGGGUUCAGUGAAAGAAGGGAGGUUGCAACAGAAGAGGGAUUUGAAACCAGAUCUUUCAGAGAACGAGGAUUUGCAUGUUUUGGUGGAAGCUGAUACACAAGAGGCUCUUGAUGCUGCUGCGGGGAUGGUGGAGAAGCUCUUGCAGCCUGUGGAUGAAGUGUUGAAUGAGCAUAAGAGGCAACAGCUUAAGGAACUUGCGGCCUUGAAUGGAACUAUAAGGGAUGAAGAGUAUUGUAGGUUAUGUGGGGAACCGGGUCACCGCCAGUAUGCAUGUCCUUCUCGCACUACAACCUUUAAAAGUGACGUCCUAUGUAAAAUAUGUGGCGAUGGUGGACACCCAACAAUUGACUGUCCGGUGAAGGGGACAACAGGAAAGAAAAUGGAUGAUGAAUAUCAGAAUUUCUUGGCAGAAUUAGGGGGGACAUUACCUGAGUCAGUGACCAAACAAACUUCUACCUUGCUUGCUCUUGGUUCAGGUACUUCAGGAAACAAUCCUCCAUGGGCCAGUGGUAACAGUGCUGGGAUUGUUGGUAAUACAUCUAGAGCUGGAUUGGGCUUAAAUGCAAGUAAACCCAUAAAGGAAUUUGAUGAUACAAAUUUGUACGUUGGGUACCUGCCACCCACUCUCGGGGAUGAUGGUUUGAUCCAAUUAUUUUCACCUUUUGGUGAUAUUGUCAUGGCUAAGGUUAUCAAGGACCGGGUAACUGGAUUGAGUAAAGGUUAUGGUUUUGUGAAGUAUUCUGAUGUUCAACAGGCUAACAAUGCAAUUUCUAGCAUGAAUGGUUAUCAUCUAGAAGGGCGAACACUUGCUGUGAGAGUUGCAGGUAAGCCCCCUCAGCCUGCUGUGCCUCCAGGCCCUCCUGCAGCAACGGUGUCUGCAUACCCUGCUUCAAAUCAGGCUGUUGGUGGCUAUCCAUCUCAGCAGUAUACAACUGGUGCUACCCUCGGGAAUACACCUCCAGGGAGUUAUGCUGGUGCCCCUGUUCCAUGGGGCCCACCUGUUCCUCCUCCUUAUGUUCCAUAUGCUCCUCUACCUCCUGGUUCGAGUAUGUAUACUCCUGUCCACAGUCAACCUGUGCCCCCUUAUGGCAUUCAGUAUCCAUCAGCAAUGCAGGCUGUUCCCUCUAGUGUCCUGACUCAGACAGUUUCUUCCAGUGAAACGCAACAAAAGUUCCUCCCUGGGGUACAGUCUGAAAAUAGGGCAUCUGUUCAACUGGCACCUGCAAAUAUAUAUGGGAACUCUGUAAUGCCUCUGAAUACUCAACCAACAUAUGCAACAUCUUCAUUAGGUUACCCAUCUUACUACAGUGUAGCUCCUUCACCAUUACACCCUUCAACAGUGGAACAAUCACAGAGCAUGGCAAAUGUACCUUGGGCUGCUAAUGCUCCAGUCCCUCCUCCUGUAUCAUCUGCAGAAAAGGCAACCUAUGGUGCAAAUGCAGAGUAUGAGAGGUUUAUCUCAGAGAUGAAAUGAUGUGGUUCCUAUCCCAAUAUUGCUGGAUUGCUUCUGGGCUGAAAAAAUUUUAAAGGUGACAACUAAGAACUUACAUCACAUUUGGUUUGUGGAAUGGAAAGGGAUGACAAUUUUAGUGGAGAACAUGAAGAAAUUAAGUGGCAUAAUGUGUCUUGGAGCUCUUGUGAACCUGAUUUCUUACAUCUUGCCAUGACAUCUUGUUGGAAGUUUGGAACUCACAUCUCUAACCUUGCUGUACUGUUAUGAAAUUUGCAGAGACUUGGAUAAAAAGUUCGGUUAAUUCAGUUAUCAAUUUUGGAGAAAUCGUCACAAAAGUUAUUUGGAUCUCCUUCUCUAAGACAUAAAUCUUGUCUUCUUGUUGAUGUUUAUUGCAUUCAUGCAGAUUUUGGUUGGUGUUGUUUUAUUAUUAUUAGCUCAUUUUAACUUCCUUGAAUUGUUGGUUGCUCACCGCUCACCUUGUAUGUUUUACUUUCCAUUUAACUUCUUGGGUUGAUCAAGCAUUUCAUCAA